rnacentral:rRNA from 1 species
GAUGAACGCUGGCUACAGGCUUAACACAUGCAAGUCGAGGGGAAACGACGGGGAAGCUUGCUUCCCCGGGCGUCGACCGGCGCACGGGUGAGUAACGCGUAUCCAACCUGCCUCUGACUGAGGGAUAACCCGUCGAAAGUCGGCCUAAUACCUCAUGGCAUCGUCUGCGGGCAUCCAACGACGAUUAAAGAUUUCAUCGGUCAGAGAUGGGGAUGCGUCUGAUUAGCUUGUUGGCGGGGUAACGGCCCACCAAGGCGACGAUCAGUAGGGGUUCUGAGAGGAAGGUCCCCCACAUUGGAACUGAGACACGGUCCAAACUCCUACGGGAGGCAGCAGUGAGGAAGAUUGGUCAAGGGGCGAGAGCCUGAACCAGCCAAGUAGCGUGCAGGAGGACGGCCCUAUGGGUUGUAAACUGCUUUUAUGCGGGGAUAAAGUGAGGGACGUGUCCUUCAUUGCAGGUACCGCAUGAAUAAGGACCGGCUAAUUCCGUG